UGCAGUCGAACGAACUCUUCGGAGUUAGUGGCAGACGGGUGAGUAACGCGUGGGAACCUACCUUUAGGUACGGAACAACAGUUGGAAACGACUGCUAAUACCGUAUGUGCCCUAUGGGGGAAAGAUUUAUCGCCUAAGGAUGGGCCCGCGUUGGAUUAGCUAGUUGGUGGGGUAAAGGCCUACCAAGGCGACGAUCCAUAGCUGGUCUGAGAGGAUGAUCAGCCACACUGGGACUGAGACACGGCCCAGACUCCUACGGGAGGCAGCAGUGGGGAAUAUUGGACAAUGGGCGCAAGCCUGAUCCAGCCAUGCCGCGUGAGUGAUGAAGGCCCUAGGGUUGUAAAGCUCUUUCAGCGAGGAGGAUAAUGACGUUACUCGCAGAAGAAGCCCCGGCUAACUUCGUGCCAGCAGCCGCGGUAAUACGAAGGGGGCUAGCGUUGUUCGGAAUCACUGGGCGUAAAGCGCACGUAGGCGGACUUUUAAGUCAGGGGUGAAAUCCCGGGGCUCAACCCCGGAACUGCCUUUGAUACUGGAAGUCUUGAGUCCGAGAGAGGUGAGUGGAACUCCGAGUGUAGAGGUGAAAUUCGUA
rnacentral:rRNA from 1 species